CCUACGGGAGGCAGCAGUGAGGAAUAUUGGUCAAUGGGCGCGAGCCUGAACCAGCCAAGUAGCGUGAAGGAUGACUGCCCUACGGGUUGUAAACUUCUUUUAUAAAGGAAUAAAGUGAGGCACGUGUGCCUUUUUGUAUGUACUUUAUGAAUAAGGAUCGGCUAACUCCGUGCCAGCAGCCGCGGUAAUACGGAGGAUCCGAGCGUUAUCCGGAUUUAUUGGGUUUAAAGGGAGCGUAGAUGGGUUGAUAAGUCAGUGGUGAAAGUUUGCGGCUCAACCUUAGAAUUGCCAUUGAUACUGGCCGUCUUGAGAAUAGUUGAGGUAGGCGGAAUGCGUGGUGUAGCGGUGAAAUGCUUAGAUAUCACGAAGAACUCCGAUUGCGAAGACAGCUUACUAAACUGCCACUGACAUUGAUGCACGAAAGUGUGGGUAUCAAACAGGAUUAGAUACCCGGGUAGUC
rnacentral:rRNA from 1 species